rnacentral:ncRNA from 1 species
UCUAGUAGCUAAAGGGUAAUCAAAAUUUUACAUAUCAGAACCAUAACUGAUUAAGUACUAGAUCUUUCAUAGAAGUUAUGAGUGCUGAUCAUAAUAUUAGUAAAUAUAAGUUAAAGAAAAUUAAACUGUAAAAAGUUGAUUUCAAUAACUUAAAAAGCUAAUUGCAGAAGUUUAAGAUAAACAAAUUAUGGAGAAAUGCUAAUCAUAUCAGCACUAUGAUUAGUAUUUU